ACGGGCGACUUUGGUGGGAAGUUUGACGAGCAUCACGCUGUGUUCUGAUAUAGGAAUCCGUUUAGAAUAAACUUUUCAGUAUUUAAGUAUUGAUUUUUACAAGUUUCAGGAGUGGUAUAAGUCUUACGUGCAGUGAUAAGUGAUUACAGUACCUAAUAAAGUUCGGCAACUGUACAAUUACGAAAGGAAAGAGGACGUAUUCUUCAAUUUUGCUUUUUGUGAAAGACAGCCAUUUUGUGCUUGGCCUACGAACAAGUUAAAACUUUCUCUUCGAUUCGAUGAUUCUCUAGAACUUUAAUCGCUAUCAAAGUUUUGUGAAUGUGUUUUUCUACUCAAUGCAUGCAUGGCUCAAGUGCUUGAAACUGGUGAUUGAGAUCCAGUAGCACAUCAUCCUCAAAUUCAAGUUCACAUAGCAAUGUGAACAAGGAAAAAAGAUACAGGAGAGUGUAGUGUGUGACACCUCACCCUAUAAGGCGACCCUGCUAGUGCUGCGAUGUGGGCAGCGCUAUGCACGAGUACAAUGUUUUUAAUUUGCAUUUGUUGAAACUAAUAAAGACUAUUUCUGACUGUGGACUAAAAGUGUGUGUGAGUGUUCGUAAAGUUAAGAUAUGUUGCUGGCUGCUGGGUGUCGAUGCCUGCCGGGAGUGGUUGGUGUCCUGGAGGAUGAAGCCGGGAGAUGUUGACGACCAGAUAGCGUCUGAGAGAAUCUCCACUACCUGGUUUUUUUUUGGGUAUGCGAUGUAACCAGACUCGAAAGUACUUGAGUGUUUGAAAUGUUAGGUGUUAGUGUUAUAGUGAGUGCAAAUGGACACAAAUUAGUAGAUAAGUACUGAUUAGGGCUUGCAAAUAUUCGA